rnacentral:rRNA from 1 species
GAUUAACGCUAGCGGCAGGCCUAAUACAUGCAAGUCGAACGGCAGCACGGGUAGCAAUACCUGGUGGCGAGUGGCGCACGGGUGAGUAACACGUAUGCAAUCUACCUUUAACUGGGGAAUAACCCUUCGAAAGAAGGGCUAAUACCGCAUAACACUUCGGGAGGGCAUCCCCCUGAAGUUAAACCUACCGGGAGUUAAAGAUGAGCAUGCGUCCGAUUAGUUAGUUGGUGAGGUAAUGGCUCACCAAGACUUCGAUCGGUAGGGGGUCUGAGAGGAUGAUCCCCCACACUGGUACUGAGACACGGACCAGACUCCUACGGGAGGCAGCAGUAAGGAAUAUUGGACAAUGGGCGCAAGCCUGAUCCAGCCAUGCCGCGUGCA